CCCCGCGCGUGGGCCGCCGGGGCACCGACCGCUGCUGGGGCAGUGGUGGAGGCCGUUGCCGUGGGGAGGCUGCUGCCGGAGACCCUGUGUCGGCGCGGCUGCGCGGGCGCCUGCCUCGCUUGCGAGCUGCGGCUGUCCCUGCUUGCAGGCCGGCCUGAGGAGCCAGCAAGGGCCAGCUGUUUGCCACACGAGAAUGGGGCGGCAAGGGCAGGGCUGAAUGGUUUCCGCGGCCCGCCUUCCCUGUGGCCCAGAGGGCUUCGGGGCACACAGGCCUCCCUAAUGCGGGUUUUCCUGAAACUGAUGAAGAGUUAUCUGCUCUAGCAAAUGUGCCUGACUGUACGGCCAUGUCCUCAACAUCCUUUCUCUUUCUGCCAUCAACGCUUCAUGCAGCGUUGCUACAUAACAUAAAACAAGAAGGUGCCUUGUACAACUGCAGAGUCUUCACAAGAUUUCUACAUGCGAAUUCAUAUCUGCACCUUGAAAGUUGGGGGGCACCUGCCCUUGCCCAAGCACAGCUGUGUUUGCCUCACCAGACACAUCAGAGAUGCUUGGACAAAGUUUCCUUGAAGAAGAGAAAAAAAAAAGAAAAAGAAAGAAAAAGAAAAAGGUAAGACUUAAACAGCCACCCAGAAAUUUUUGAUUCACAAUUACAAUUAACUUUGCAGAUGAAAAAUUCAUGAAAGUUCAUGAAAUUUCAUGAAACUUAGAUGUCAGCUGAAGGAGAAAACUGGCACAUCAUUUAUAAUCAAACAGCAUGGUAUGUUCAACAGCGUGAAUUAAUUUGAUAUUCUUAUAGUACACCCCUAGUAGAUACGUGUCUACUAUCUGAAAUCAGCAUACAGCUUGAUCUUCUGCACCUUGACAGAAAUUCUUUCUAGAAUAUUAGGUCAAUAAGUGAGACCAUUAGCAGUGCUCUAUGGGAAGUUGCAUUUGGAAUCUGAUCGUUGUUCUGUGUUGUGGUUUCCAACAGCACGAAAUCGAAUUAGGAUCAAAAGACUUGCAGCUACAACGCCAGUGAAAUUA
rnacentral:lncRNA from 1 species